rnacentral:rRNA from 1 species
UACGAAGGGGGCUAGCGUUGCUCGGAAUGACUGGGCGUAAAGGGCGCGUAGGCGGUUCAUACAGUCAGAUGUGAAAUUCCCGGGCUUAACCUGGGGGCUGCAUUUGAUACGUGUGGGCUUGAGUGAGGAAGAGGGUUGUGGAAUUCCCAGUGUAGAGGUGAAAUUCGUAGAUAUUGGGAAGAACACCGGUGGCGAAGGCGGCAACCUGGUCCUUUACUGACGCUGAGGAGCGAAAGCGUGGGGAGCGAACAGG